CGUUUCCAAACCAUUGAUGCCGUAAAGCGUUUGGCGC
rnacentral:other from 19 species